ACGGAAGGCAGCAGUGAGGAAUAUUGGUCAAUGGACGGAAGUCUGAACCAGCCAAGUCGCGUGAAGGAUGAAGGUAUUAUGUAUUGUAAACUUCUUUAGCAGUGGAGUAAUAAGGGGAUCGCGAUCCCUGAUGCAAAUACACUGAGAAUAAGGAUCGGCUAACUCCGUGCCAGCAGCCGCGGUAAUACGGAGGAUCCGAGCGUUAUCCGGAUUUAUUGGGUUUAAAGGGUGCGCAGGCGGCUUUUUAAGUCAGUGGUUAAAUCGUGACGCUCAACGUCAUCACGCCAUUGAUACUGGAGAGCUUGAUUGCGGUCGAGGUUUGCGGAAUUCGUUGUGUAGCGGUGAAAUGCAUAGAUAUGACGAAGAACACCGAUUGCGUAGGCAGCAGACCAGGCCGUAAAUGACGCUCAUGCACGAAAGUGCGGGGAUCGAACAGGAUUAGAUACCCUGGUA
rnacentral:rRNA from 1 species